rnacentral:tRNA from 1 species
GCCUGGGUGGCUCAGUCGGUUGAGCGUCCGACUUCGGCUCAGGUCUCGAUCUCGCGGUCCGUGAGUUCGAGCCCCGCGUCAGGCU